GGUGCUUGCAUCAUGAUUUACAUUUGAGUGAGUGGCGAACUGGUGAGUAACACGUGGGAAACCUGCCCAGAAGCGGGGGAUAACACCUGGAAACAGAUGCUAAUACCGCAUAACAACUUGGACCGCAUGGUCCGAGUUUGAAAGAUGGCUUCGGCUAUCACUUUUGGAUGGUCCCGCGGCGUAUUAGCUAGAUGGUGGGGUAACGGCUCACCAUGGCAAUGAUACGUAGCCGACCUGAGAGGGUAAUCGGCCACAUUGGGACUGAGACACGGCCCAAACUCCUACGGGAGGCAGCAGUAGGGAAUCUUCCACAAUGGACGAAAGUCUGAUGGAGCAACGCCGCGUGAGUGAAGAAGGGUUUCGGCUCGUAAAACUCUGUUGUUAAAGAAGAACAUAUCUGAGAGUAACUGUUCAGGUAUUGACGGUAUUUAACCAGAAAGCCACGGCUAACUACGUGCCAGCAGCCGCGGUAAUACGUAGGUGGCAAGCGUUGUCCGGAUUUAUUGGGCGUAAAGCGAGCGCAGGCGGUUUUUUAAGUCUGAUGUGAAAGCCUUCGGCUCAACCGAAGAAGUGCAUCGGAAACUGGGAAACUUGAGUGCAGAAGAGGACAGUGGAACUCCAUGUGUAGCGGUGAAAUGCGUAGAUAUAUGGAAGAACACCAGUGGCGAAGGCGGCUGUCUGGUCUGUAACUGACGCUGAGGCUCGAAAGUAUGGGUAGCAAACAGGAUUAGAUACCCUGGUAGUCCAUACCGUAAACGAUGAAUGCUAAGUGUUGGAAGGGUUUCCGCCCUUCAGUGCUGCAGCUAACGCAUUAAGCAUUCCGCCUGGGGGAGUACGGCCGCAAGGCUGAAACUCAAAGGAAUUGACGGGGGCCCGCACAAGCGGUGGAGCAUGUGGUUUAAUUCGAAGCUACGCGAAGAACCUUACCAGGUCUUGACAUACUAUGCAAAUCUAAGAGAUUAGACGUUCCCUUCGGGGACAUGGAUACAGGUGGUUGCAUGGUUGUCGUCAGCUCGUGUCCUGAGAAUGUUGGGGUUAAGUCCCGCAACGAGCGCAACCCUUAUUAUCAAUUGCCACCAUUAAAUUGGGCACUCUGGUGAGACUGCCCGUGACAAACCGAGGAAAGGAGUGGGGGUAGAAGUCCAAAUAAUCCUGGCCCCUAUUAACCUGGGGUACCACCCUGCUUCAAAUGAAAGGGUC
rnacentral:rRNA from 1 species